UGGGGAAUAUUGCACAAUGGGGGAAACCCUGAUGCAGCGACGCCGCGUGAGCGAAGAAGGUUUUCGAAUCGUAAAGCUCUGUCCUAUGGGAAGAUAAUGACGGUACCAUAGGAGGAAGCCCCGGCUAACUACGUGCCAGCAGCCGCGGUAAUACGUAGGGGGCAAGCGUUGUCCGGAAUCACUGGGCGUAAAGGGUUCGCAGGCGGAAAUGCAAGUCAGUUGUGAAAGGCAGAGGCUGAACCUCUGUAAGCAAUUGAAACUGUAUUUCUUGAGAUGUGGAGAGGCAAGUGGAAUUCCUAGUGUAGCGGUGAAAUGCGUAGAUAUUAGGAAGAAUACCGGUGGCGAAGGCGACUUGCUGGACACAAACUGACGCUGAGGAACGAAAGCGUGGGUAGCAAACAGG
rnacentral:rRNA from 1 species